rnacentral:rRNA from 1 species
GACAGAGGCCCCGAGCGUUAGGCGGAAUCACUGGGCUUAAAGCGUGUGUAGGCGGAUCGUUAAGUGUCUUGUGAAAUCCCACGGCUCACCCGUGGAACCGCUGGGCAUACUGGCGAUCUUGGGCCAUUCAGGGGCAGCUGGAACAAGCGGUGGAGCGGUGAAAUGCGUAGAUAUCGCUUGGAACGCCGAAGGUGAAAACAGGCUGCUGGGAAUGUGCCGACGCUGAGACACGAAAGCCAGGGGAGCGAACGGG